rnacentral:lncRNA from 1 species
GUUAAAGGAAGGCAACAUUCUACAGUGCCAUCCAUUUUUUUUGGGAACAUGGAAAAGUUCUGGAAAGUUCUUCGUUAGUAGAUAUCUAUGCCUUUUAAACCAUCGAUAUAAAAGUAAGGCUGGGAUUAUAAAUAGCAAUAGAAUACUACGGUGUAAGAUUAUUUACGUUUUUAAUCUUUCAGGUAGCGAUUUUUCGAUCGUCCAAACAACAAAGGGGAAGACUGUAAUGGUGUUUCAGAAUUUUACGUUUUCUAACAGCUGGAACUCAAGAUGUUGGUAUUGUUCAAAGAGGAAGUCCUUAGGCUGCCCCGCUAGCGUUAUGCUGAACAACCAGAAUAAGAUUACAAGGUACAACAGGGAUCACAAUCAUUUGCCUGCAUAUAUUAACUUUGGCGAUUACGACAAAUACUUGUAAAAAUAAAAUUUUUGUUCAACUGCACUAAUUAUAGGAUAAGAAAAGAAGAAGCGAGUUUUAGAACCGGCAAAAUAACAUAACAUAACAAAAAUAGCCUAUAUACGUCCCACUGCUGGGCACAGGCCUCCCCUCAAUCAACCGGAAAGGGUAUGGAGCAUACUCCACCACGCUGCUCCACUGCGGGUUGGAGGAGGUAUUUUUACGGUUAAUAGCCGGGACCAAGGCUAUUAACCGUAAAAAUACCUCCUCCAACCGGCUUAACGUGCCCUCCGAAGCACGGAAUCAACUUAUUUUUUCAGACAAUCAGGUGAUUCAAGUCUGUAAAGUCCUUACCAAACAAAGGACAGUCUCACAAAGUGAUUUCGACAAUGUCCCCAUCGGGAAUCGAACCCCGACCUCCAGAUAGUGAGCCUAACGCUCUAACCACCGAACCGGCAAACUAAAUUAAAAUUACCUAGUUAAGUUCGCUCGAUGCUAUGGUAACAGCGCAGCAUCAAUAGAAUAUUAUGUCAUCGAAAUCCGUCCAUCGUGAAUUCCCGCUCCUAACUAAUAAGCUUUUGUCCCUGCCCACCCUAUUAGGGAUAACGAGUGUGAGUUUCAUCUCUCCAUACAAGUUCCAUAAAUAAAAUACAAUACUUAUAAAAAACUUAUAACAGUUUGUAUUAAAAAGACAGCGUUAUUUAGAAAACUGCUGAAAUCCUCUUACUUACUUUCUAAAUGCGUCUAAAAUAUUGUGAAAAAAGCGAGUCGUUUGACGUUUGCGUUUUACUUCUUGAUACACAGCUGACUUGGUAGUGUUUUCAGUAUUUAUUUUUAAUAUAAUUUGAAGCUAUUUAUUUACUCGUUGUUAAAGGAGUAAUAAUAACUCUUAAAGUUAGUUAUAAAAUGUUUUGUGACCUAAGUACAAUCUUAAAUACAAGUUCAUAACAUAACCUCAAACAAUGAAUUUCUAAAAUGUUAGAAGUUAUUGUUGAUUUUGUGAAAGUGUUUAAAGUACCAAGACUGUACCUACCGUGGAUAAUGUUAUGCAGAUUAAAAAUACCAAGUUUAUAACAGUGACUCAAAGUAUUCUCCGAAAGUUACAUUGGACCUAUGAAGAAGGAAUUUAAUGAGAAGCUUAAUAAUCUAAUGCAGCGAAAGAAAAACAAUAGUGUGUAUUUUAUGGACAGAGAUAGAUAUGAGGACUUUAUAAAAGAAGUUAAAGACAUUAAAAAUAAACGUUAUAAAGACUUUGAUGAUUACAAAAUGUUAAACAGUUAUGAUAUUUUAGAACUUAAUGGUAAGGAAAAACUUAUAGUACCUAAAAAUGAGAGUAAUAAUGUUAAAUUUUAUGUAGCUACUGAUGAACUAUUUGGAGUAUUACACACUAUGCAUUUACUUUUUAAUCAUGCUGACCUUAAUACUAUGGAUAAGGAAAUUAAAACUAAAUAUUGCAAUGUUUCUAAAGAAGUAAUAAGGAUUUAUACAAUGACCUGCAAAGUUUGUAAAGAAAAAUAAUAAUAAUAAAAACACGUAAUAAAGGGUUCUUACCGCGUUUAAAGCAGGGUUACUCCCGAUAUUUCGACACUGUUGCAAGUGCCAUGAUCACCCGAACAACCCCCCGAGAACCCGUUAUUAUGUGUUUUAAUUAUGAUAAUAACCCCGUAAACUUAAAACAAUGUUAAAAAAUUAAUAGUCUAUUUUUUUAAAUAUACACAACGGUUGUCUAUGAAAAUAUAUUUUUGCUAUUACUACUUUGUUUGUUUUAUUCAUAUUGGGACCUACUUUAACUUUUUAACAGAGAGUGUUUGUCUGCAUAAUAUAAAUAGGUUCAUUAAAAAGGUGUGAAAUGUUUUAUACAAUCUUUUUUCCUGUUUUUACUUCGCCGCUAUUGCUUAACCCUUUAUAUUCUUGCAAUAUAGCUUCGACUUAAGGGUCUGUUUUCCUACUUGCUUCAGAAAUACCACUGUUUUCAAAAGACUAAAAAUUUUCAGCAAGUUGUGAAAUAGGCCCUCAGAAUAUACUAACGUCUUUCUAGCCAGUUCGUUAUUUUUCUAUUGCUUUUGAAUCCAUGUUUGUAUAUAAAGAAUUCUUACACUCAUAUUUUUUUCCAGUAAAAUUCAUGACUUCGCGUGAUGGUGAAAAAUUGUUGAAGUUCGGAGAUUUUACGUUCACGAGAGAACAAAAGGAGGAAGGUAGAUGUUGUUGGAUUUGCUACACACAUUCAAGUGUAGGAUGCUCUGCAAAAGUCUACACUGAAAUGGAUAAGUUGGUGUACGCAAAAAAUGUUCACAACCACCCCCCAACUGAGUUUUUUGUCUGACAUCAAUUGAUUUUCGCAUCAAUUUCAAGUACAAGUAGGGUAUUAAACGAACGAAAUGCAUUAAAAAGGCUUUAUACAUAAUAUUUAACGGAGAUUUUUUUACUUCAAUUCUUUUUUCUUAUUACUAAUGCAUGACACCAUGAAAUGACGAACUUUCAUGCGGCCAGUGAUUUUGGUCUCGGUUUGAAAGUGCUUGAUAUUUAAGAGUCAGAUUUUAUAUUUUGUAAUAUUAGAAGCAAAUUCGAGGCAAUAUAUAUUAGUGUCGCCUUAACAAUUACACUUAUUCUUACACAUGAGAUUUGAUGUCGAUUGAAAUAAGUAUUUUUAUGUGGUGAUUAUUUUUUCAUCUCUGUAAGUAUUUGUUGUCAUAUUUAUAU